rnacentral:rRNA from 1 species
GUGAGGAAUAUUGCGCAAUGGACGAAAGUCUGACGCAGCCAUGCCGCGUGCAGGAUGACGGCCCUAUGGGUUGUAAACUGCUUUUGUAUAGGAAGAAACUUGACUACGUGUAGUUGACUGACGGUACUAUAUGAAUAAGCAUCGGCUAACUCCGUGCCAGCAGCCGCGGUAAUACGGAGGAUGCAAGCGUUAUCCGGAUUUAUUGGGUUUAAAGGGUGCGUAGGCGGAAACUUAAGUCAGUGGUGAAAUCCUGCAGCUUAACUGUAGCACUGCCAUUGAUACUGAGAUUCUUGAGUACGGUUGAGGUAGGCGGAAUGUGUAAUGUAGCGGUGAAAUGCUUAGAUAUUACACAGAACACCGAUUGCGUAGGCAGCUUACUAAGCCGCAACUGACGCUGAGGCACGAAAGCGUGGGGAUCGAACAGGAUUAGAAACCCUUGUAGUCC